rnacentral:lncRNA from 1 species
CCGGAUUCUGGGGCAGUUAUGCCAGGGGAACCAAUGAACAUUGGUCCUAUGACAUAUCCCAUGCAGUAUACCUAUGCUCAUUCAUGAAGUGCUGAUAAGAGGUGUAGUGCACGUACAUAGAAACAUCCGUUAGUUCAUAAUUCUAUUUAUAUUCCUUCAUUGUUGCUUUUAUGCAAGCUAGAGUUUUAUGCUUAUUCAAUGAUUUCAAAUAAGACACUGAAUACUUGACAUCCUUUGGCAUCAUAGGAUAUCAUUAAAGCAACUUUAUUUUUAGUUAUUUAGAUUGUUAUUUUUUAUUUUUGGACUGAAAGUUUUAGGUUGUUACUGUAAAUAGUCAUAUAAAGUGAUCCGUUUGUUAUGUAGAGGAAGUUUCCAUUGCUUUAAUUUUUUAAGGGAACUGAGCUUAUGAUGGCUUAUAGCUGAUAACUUAUAAGUUCGUAUAUAAAAGGAAGUAAUGUUUGGAAACAUUUUUUUCUCACAA